UACAGAGGAUGCAAGCGUUAUCCGGAAUGAUUGGGCGUAAAGCGUCUGUAGGUGGCUUUUUAAGUCCGCCGUCAAAUCCCAGGGCUCAACUCUGGACAGGCGGUGGAAACUACCAAGCUGGAGUACGGUAGGGGCAGAGGGAAUUUCCGGUGGAGCGGUGAAAUGCGUAGAGAUCGGAAGGAACGCCGGUGGCGAAAGCGACGUGCUGGACCUCUUCUGACGCUGAGGCGCGAAAGCCAGGGGAGCAAACGGG
rnacentral:rRNA from 1 species